rnacentral:rRNA from 1 species
UACGUAGGGUGCAAGCGUUAAUCGGAAUUACUGGGCGUAAAGCGUGCGCAGGCGGCUCUGCAAGUCAGAUGUGAAAUCCCCGGGCUCAACCUGGGAACUGCAUUUGUGACUGCAUGGCUAGAGUACGGUAGAGGGGGAUGGAAUUCCGCGUGUAGCAGUGAAAUGCGUAGAUAUGCGGAGGAACACCGAUGGCGAAGGCAAUCCCCUGGACCUGUACUGACGCUCAUGCACGAAAGCGUGGGGAGCAAACAGG